rnacentral:rRNA from 1 species
GACAGAGGGUGCAAACGUUGUUCGGAAUCAUUGGGCGUAAAGGGCGUGUAGGCGGUCGAUCAAGUCGGAGGUGAAAUCCCUCGGCUCAACUGAGGAAUUGCCUUCGAUACUGUUCGGCUUGAGUCCUGGAGAGGGUAGCGGAAUUCCCGGUGUAGCGGUGAAAUGCGUAGAGACCGGGAAGAACGCCAGGGGCGAAGGCGGCUACCUGGACAGGUACUGACGCUAACAGCGCGAAAGCUAGGGGAGCAAACAGG